CAUGAAGCCGGAAUCGCUAGUAAUCGCGGAUCAGAAUGCCGCGGUGAAUACGUUCCCGGGUCUUGUACACACCGCCCGUCACACCAUGGGAGCCGGGAAUGCCCGAAGUCAGUGGCCCAACCGAAAGGGGGAGCUGCCGAAGGCAGGCCUGGUGACUGGGGUGAAGUCGUAACAAGGUACC
rnacentral:rRNA from 1 species